UCAAGCGCCUCUUUCAUAUUUAUAUUUAUGAACCCUAGCUGGAUCCUAAAUCACCCGAACCCUUUUGUUUGAUUAAUUAGCGAUUUAUUUAGAGAAAACAAGAAUUGCGGGUUUAUUUAGGGUUUCUCAAUUGCAGAGUACAUCGGCUGUUUCAUAUGUCUGAUCUUAAAAACCCCUCUUCGAGUGUCUAGGGUUUUUUCAGUCAAUUUGAUGUCGUCGAGAAUCACCAGAAUUUGCAGGGUUUUGUGAGAAUUGCGAGUUUAAGGUUUUUUAAUCAUGGAAUUUGACGAUCAUCUGACGUGUUCUUGGUCUGCCGUAGAAUUAAUUAACUGAUGCUUCUGAAGCGGAACCAAGUCAUCGAAUGCCCUUCCAUAUGAUACAUCUGGUCAAACCUUAUGGCAUUGAGAAACCAUAAGGGGCCCACCUUAGCUGUUGGCAGAAUUUUCUAACGCCUUGAAGUUUAUCGUCGAAGAGGUCUUAUAGUUGUUAUAGAUGCUUUUGAAGCGGAAGAAUUUGCUGAGGUGGCAAUGAAGCCACUGAAAGCCCUUCCAUAUGACACACCUGGUUGAAGUUUAUGGCAUUUGAGUACCCCACAAGGGGUCCCAGCUCAGCUGUUGGCAGAUUUUUUGACGUGUUGAAAUUUAUCGUCAAAGAGGUACAAUCAAAAUGAAUGAUAUUUUCUUAAAUCCGUUCAGCGAUAUGUACGCAUUCUCGGGUAGUACGGACAACAACGAUACGUCAUCAAGCAAUAAAGAUAAAAGUCCGCCGAAAGAAAGAAAGAAAGAAGCUUGGGAGUCCGAGAGCGCAUUCGGAACAUUCAACAAACCCCCAAAGCUUAUGGCUAUAGAGGAUUAUAGUAGGUGGGCAACAAAGUUUGAAGAUUGGAUGAUGGCAUUUGCAUUUCCAAGCUGGAAAAGCAUGAAAAAUGGCUAUGCAAAUGGAAAGAAGAAUGGUGAAGCUUUGAGAUCAGUUGAAGAAAUUGAUAAUUUUGUGGUAGAACAAAAAUGUGUAGCAUUGCUUUUCCAAUCUGUCCGAGAAGACAUCAUUUCUUUGAUCGAUUACUCAAAUGCAAAAGAUUUAUGGGAUAAACUCAAUAAAAAAUGUAUAGGAAGUACUGAGAUUAUAAAGAAUAAGAAGAAACUUCUCCGGAAAGAAUUUGAUAUGUUUGGAUGUAUGAAAAAUGAAUCAGUGUGUAAAAUGAUUGAACGGUUUGGUCAUCUGAAGCUGGAACUGGCACGAUAUGAUAUUGAGUAUUCUCCGGAAGAACUUGUAGAUAAACUGUUUGAUUCAUUACCAGACGAGAUGGAUUGGAGAUAUUAUGCGUUGAUGUUAAAGAACACUAUUGCUCCUGACCAAUUGAAACCAGAUGUUGUGAUUGAGAGACUUG